UGCAAGAAAAUGCAGUAAAAUAGUCCGCCUAAGAAAAAUUGAAUUUUUUUGGGAACUUUUUCAUUUUUUUGGAUUUAUGGGUCGGAUGACUUUUUGGUGGUAAUAGGUGUCUUCCUCUACUCGGAUUUGGCUGUCGAUUUUUUUCUACACUUUUAGGUGUAUUUUGUGCAAGAAAUUGCAAUAAAAUAGUCCGCCUAAGAAAAAUUGAAUUUUUUUGGGAACUUUUUUAUUUUUUUGGAUUUAUGGGUUGGAUGACUUUUUGGUGGUAAUAGGUGUCUUCCUCUACUCGGAUUUGGCUGUCGAUUUUUUUCUACACUUUUAGGUGUAUUUUGUGCAAGAAAUUGCAAUAAAAUAGUCCGCCUAAGAAAAAUUGAAUUUUUUUGGGAACUUUUUUAUUUUUUUGGAUUUAUGGGUUGGAUGACUUUUUGGUGGUAAUAGGUGUCUUCCUCUACUCGGAUUUGGCUGUCGAUUUUUUUCUACACUUCUAGGUGUAUUUUGUGCAAGAAAUUGCAAUAAAAUAGUCCGCCUAAGAAAAAUUGAAUUUUUUUGGGAACUUUUUUAUUUUUUUGGAUUUAUGGGUUGGAUGACUUUUUGGUGGUAAUAGGUGUCUUCCUCUACUCGGAUUUGGCUGUCGAUUUUUUUCUACACUUUUAGGUGUAUUUUGUGCAAGAAAUUGCAAUAAAAUAGUCCGCCUAAGAAAAAUUGAAUUUUUUUGGGAACUUUUUUAUUUUUUUGGAUUUAUGGGUUGGAUGACUUUUUGGUGGUAAUAGGUGUCUUCCUCUACUCGGAUUUGGCUGUCGAUUUUUUUCUACACUUUUAGGUGUAUUUUGUGCAAGAAAUUGCAGUAAAAUAGUCCGCCUAAGAAAAAUUGAAUUAUUUUGAAAAUUUUUUUUUGACGAAAAUCGCUUUAAUGGUCAUAAAAUUGGUGUUCCUCUACUCGGAUUUGGCUGUCGAUUUUUUUCUACACUUUUAGGUGUAUUUUGUGCAAGAAAUUGCAAUAAAAUAGUCCGCCUAAGAAAAAUUGAAUUUUUUUGGGAACUUUUUUAUUUUUUUGGAUUUAUGGGUUGGAUGACUUUUUGGUGGUAAUAGGUGUCUUCCUCUACUCGGAUUUGGCUGUCGAUUUUUUUCUACACUUUUAGGUGUAUUUUGUGCAAGAAAUUGCAGUAAAAUAGUCCGCCUAAGAAAAAUUGAAUUAUUUUGAAAAUUUUUUUUUGACGAAAAUCGCUUUAAUGGUCAUAAAAUUGGUGUUCCUCUACUCGGAUUUGGCUGUCGAUUUUUUUCUACACUUUUAGGUGUAUUUUGUGCAAGAAAUUGCAGUAAAAUAGUCCGCCUAAGAAAAAUUGAAUUUUUUUGGGAACUUUUUUAUUUUUUUGGAUUUAUGGGUUGGAUGACUUUUUGGUGGUAAUAGGUGUCUUCCUCUACUCGGAUUUGGCUGUCGAUUUUUUUCUACACUUUUAGGUGUAUUUUGUGCAAGAAAUUGCAAUAAAAUAGUCCGCCUAAGAAAAAUUGAAUUUUUUUGGGAACUUUUUUAUUUUUUUGGAUUUAUGGGUUGGAUGACUUUUUGGUGGUAAUAGGUGUCUUCCUCUACUCGGAUUUGGCUGUCGAUUUUUUUCUACACUUUUAGGUGUAUUUUGUGCAAGAAAUUGCAAUAAAAUAGUCCGCCUAAGAAAAAUUGAAUUUUUUUGGGAACUUUUUUAUUUUUUUGGAUUUAUGGGUUGGAUGACUUUUUGGUGGUAAUAGGUGUCUUCCUCUACUCGGAUUUGGCUGUCGAUUUUUUUCUACACUUUUAGGUGUAUUUUGUGCAAGAAAUUGCAGUAAAAUAGUCCGCCUAAGAAAAAUUGAAUUAUUUUGAAAAUUUUUUUUUGACGAAAAUCGCUUUAAUGGUCAUAAAAUUGGUGUUCCUCUACUCGGAUCGGGCUGUCAAUUUUUUUCUACACUUUUAGGUGUAUUUUGUGCAAGAAAUUGAAAUAAAAUAGUCUGCGUAAGAAAAUUUGAAUUUUUUGUCUAUUUUUCUAUGACGGAAGUGAUUUAAAGGUUUUUAAUUGAUUUAAAUAAAAUUUGGUAGGCAGAUUUAUCAUAUUAAUAGCUCAAAUCU